UACGUAGGGUGCGAGCGUUGUCCGGAAUUAUUGGGCGUAAAGAGCGUGUAGGCGGCUUUACAGGUCCGUUGUGAAAACUCGAGGCUCAACCUCGAGACGCCGGUGGAAACCGUAAGGCUAGAGUCCGGAAGAGGAGAGUGGAAUUCCUGGUGUAGCGGUGAAAUGCGCAGAUAUCAGGAAGAACACCCGUGGCGAAGGCGGCUCUCUGGGACGGUACUGACGCUGAGACGCGAAAGCGUGGGGAGCGAACAGG
rnacentral:rRNA from 1 species